GCUGAAAAGGCAGACUGAAUUGCGGCAGGCUGUUUCGAACCAAUGGUGAGGAAAAAUAAAGUUAUACGGGCACCAUGUGCAUUUUGUCGAUUGAACAUACAGCCUAUCAGAACCGUUUCUACAGGCCGCUUGAACAUGUCAAUUUGACAGCUACGAGCAACAAAAGAAGUGGAACCGUGGACUCUCGAAGGUUUUCCUUGGGACAAAUCAAGCAUGCGAUGUCAUCUACGGAAACAGCAGAAUUAUGGGGCUGCAUAACAAGCAGAUGCAACAGUGAAUAUUUAUAUGCCUCUGAAGGAAGCUCAAGGCUUUACGAAACACCGACAUAAAACGGGAAAGAAGCAUGCCCAAACCAACAACAGCUUUCUUUCGCCUAGCUGUCGGUGAUUCCAACGGUUCCUAGUUGUUUUGUAUUAUAUUUUAUGGAUGUGUUGAUCGCCAAAAUUUCAAGACCAAUAAACUGUUGAACAAGUGUU
rnacentral:lncRNA from 1 species